rnacentral:misc_RNA from 1 species
AUCCAGGAUGGAAAAACAGUUAACAUUACGAGUCAAUGACAAGUGCCUGAAAUAUUGAAAUGGCGAUAAAAUAUCUAAAUUGUAAAAGUUUCGGCCUGUCUUGAAACGGCCAUGUCCUGAGCUUGGUUGAAAUUCCUUCACGCAUUUAAAAUGGUUCUGGCCAGUACGGCAGUCGUCGUGGUUACUAUGGCAACGGUCGGGGCAGCCGAGGCUACGGACGCAGUAUGAACGGAUACAACGACUAUGGCUUCGGUAACGGCGCCUACCGCGGCUACGGAAACCGUGGAAUGUACGGCGGCUACGACCGGUCUCCCUACGGCUACGGCAGUCGCGGCUACGGCAGCCGCGGCUACGGCGGGUUCGGCAGGCGCGGUGGAGCCUACGGCGGCUACGGCGGCUACGGUCGGCAGUACGGCGGGAUGGGUGCGUUCGGGGGACGUGCUGGGGCGUACGGCGACGGCUACAGUGGUGGAUACUAUUGAAAUACGCAUGCUGCGAUUUCUUGAAUGUUUUGGCUCUUCUGACUACUGACCGUGUCACAAUGGAAUCACACGCUGAUGGAUAUGCUUGAAAUUUAUUUUUUUACCUCUGUUGGGUCAUUUGGGCAAAAGCGUCCUGCGACUAUCGCGAGGUGUAGAAUGAUGCGCCAUUUGUGUGUAUCUUGGUGUCUAUCGCUAACUGUGUUUCUCACACCGUAUGAAUAUAUGCUGUGACAAACUUAUAUAAUAAGAAUUUCAUACGACUAUCAAGCAUCUGCGAAUGAUAUACCCCGUUUCCAAGGGCAUCAGUUCCUGAGUGACCAUGCAGUGCCCCGUGAGAGACUAGGCUCAAGGCUCAGGCUGCCCAAUGCCCAUGGUAACACCAGUAGCUAAUCCGUAGCUGGUG